rnacentral:rRNA from 1 species
UACGUAGGGUGCGAGCGUUGUCCGGAUUUAUUGGGCGUAAAGAGCUCGUAGGCGGCUUGUCGCGUCGACUGUGAAAUCCCGCGGCUCAACUGCGGGUCUGCAGUCGAUACGGGCAGGCUAGAGUUCGGUAGGGGAGAUCGGAAUUCCUGGUGUAGCGGUGAAAUGCGCAGAUAUCAGGAGGAACACCGGUGGCGAAGGCGGAUCUCUGGGCCGAUACUGACGCUGAGGAGCGAAAGCGUGGGGAGCGAACAGG